rnacentral:rRNA from 1 species
AACCCGCCUGCAUGAAGUUGGAAUUGCUAGUAAUCGCGGAUCAGCAUGCCGCGGUGAAUACGUUCCCGGGCCUUGUACACACCGCCCGUCACACCAUGAGAGUCGGGAACACCCGAAGUCCGUAGUCUAACCGCAAGGAGGGCGCGGCCGAAGGUGGGUUCGAUAAUUGGGGUGAAGUCGUAACAAGGUAGC